CCUACGGGUGGCUGCAGUGGGGAAUAUUGGACAAUGGGCGAAAGCCUGAUCCAGCCAUGCCGCGUGUGUGAAGAAGGCCUUCGGGUUGUAAAGCACUUUCAGUGGGGAAGAAAGCCUUGGGGCUAAUACCCUCGAGGAAGGACAUCACCCACAGAAGAAGCACCGGCUAACUCCGUGCCAGCAGCCGCGGUAAUACGGAGGGUGCGAGCGUUAAUCGGAAUUACUGGGCGUAAAGCGCGCGUAGGCGGUCUGAUAAGCCGGUUGUGAAAGCCCCGGGCUCAACCUGGGAACGGCAUCCGGAACUGUCAGGCUAGAGUGCAGGAGAGGAAGGUAGAAUUCCCGGUGUAGCGGUGAAAUGCGUAGAGAUCGGGAGGAAUACCAGUGGCGAAGGCGGCCUUCUGGACUGACACUGACGCUGAGGUGCGAAAGCGUGGGUAGCAAACAGGAUUAGAUACCCCUGUGUC
rnacentral:rRNA from 1 species